rnacentral:rRNA from 1 species
GACGAACGCUGGCGGCGUGCUUAACACAUGCAAGUCGAACGGAAAGGCCCUGCUUUUGUGGGGUGCUCGAGUGGCGAACGGGUGGGUAACACGUGAGUAACCUGCCCUUGACUUUGGGAUAACUUCAGGAAACUGGGGCUAAUACCGGAUAGGAGCUCCUGCUGCAUGGUGGGGGUUGGAAAGUUUCGGCGGUUGGGGAUGGACCCGCGGCUUAUCAGCUUGUUGGUGGGGUAGUGGCUUACCAAGGCUUUGACGGGUAGCCGGCCUGAGAGGGUGACCGGCCACAUUGGGACUGAGAUACGGCCCAGACUCCUACGGGAGGCAGCAGUGGGGAAUAUUGCACAAUGGGCGGAAGCCUGAUGCAGCAACGCCGCGUGCGGGAUGACGGCCUUCGGGUUGUAAACCGCUUUCGCCUGUGACGAAGCGUGAGUGACGGUAAUGGGUAAAGAAGCACCGGCUAACUACGUG